UGGGGAAUUUUGGACAAUGGGCGAAAGCCUGAUCCAGCAAUGCCGCGUGUGUGAAGAAAGCCUUCGGGUUGUAAAGCACUUUUGUCCGGAAAGAAAUCCUUGGCUCUAAUACAGUCGGGGGAUGACGGUACCGGAAGAAUAAGCACCGGCUAACUACGUGCCAGCAGCCGCGGUAAUACGUAGGGUGCAAGCGUUAAUCGGAAUUACUGGGCGUAAAGCGUGCGCAGGCGGUUUGCUAAGACCGAUGUGAAAUCCCCGGGCUCAACCUGGGAACUGCAUUGGUGACUGGCAGGCUAGAGUAUGGCAGAGGGGGGUAGAAUUCCACGUGUAGCAGUGAAAUGCGUAGAGAUGUGGAGGAAUACCGAUGGCGAAGGCAGCCCCCUGGCAAGUACUGACGCUCAUGCACGAAAGCGUGGGGAGCAAACAGGAUUAGAUACCCUGGUAGUCCACGCCCUAAACGAUGUCAACUAGUUGUUGGGGAUUCAUUUCCUUAGUAACGUAGCUAACGCGUGAAGUUGACCGCCU
rnacentral:rRNA from 1 species